rnacentral:rRNA from 1 species
UGGGGAAUAUUGCACAAUGGGCGCAAGCCUGAUGCAGCCAUGCCGCGUGUAUGAAGAAGGCCUUCGGGUUGUAAAGUACUUUCAGCGGGGAGGAAGGUGUUGUGGUUAAUAACCUCAGCAAUUGACGUUACCCGCAGAAGAAGCACCGGCUAACUCCGUGCCAGCAGCCGCGGUAAUACGGAGGGUGCAAGCGUUAAUCGGAAUUACUGGGCGUAAAGCGCACGCAGGCGGUCUGUCAAGUCGGAUGUGAAAUCCCCGGGCUCAACCUGGGAACUGCAUCCGAAACUGGCAGGCUUGAGUCUUGUAGAGGGGGGUAGAAUUCCAGGUGUAGCGGUGAAAUGCGUAGAGAUCUGGAGGAAUACCGGUGGCGAAGGCGGCCCCCUGGACAAAGACUGACACUGAGGUGCGAAAGCGUGGGGAGCAAACA